AUUGAACGCUGGCGGCAGGCUUAACACAUGCAAGUCGAGCGGGGUGAUGGUGCUUGCACUAUCACUUAGCGGCGGACGGGUGAGUAAUGCUUAGGAAUCUGCCUAUUAGUGGGGGACAACAUCUCGAAAGGGAUGCUAAUACCGCAUACGUCCUACGGGAGAAAGCAGGGGAUCACUUGUGACCUUGCGCUAAUAGAUGAGCCUAAGUCGGAUUAGCUAGUUGGUGGGGUAAAGGCCUACCAAGGCGACGAUCUGUAGCGGGUCUGAGAGGAUGAUCCGCCACACGGGGAAUGAGACACGGCCCAGACUCCUACGGGAGGCGGCAGUGGGGAAUAUUGGACAAUGGGGGGAACCCUGAUCCGGCCAUGCCGCGUGUGUGAAGAAGGCCUUAUGGUUGUAAAGCACUUUAAGCGAGGAGGAGGCUCUUUUGGUUAAUACCCAAGAUGAGUGGACGUUACUCGCAGAAUAAGCACCGGCUAACUCUGUGCCAGCAGCCGCAGUAA
rnacentral:rRNA from 1 species